GGGCAGCUUACCAUGCAAGUCGAACGGAAGGCCUUGUGCUUGCACAAGGUACUCGAGUGGCGAACGGGUGAGUAACACGUGGGUGAUCUGCCCUGCACUGUGGGAUAAGCCUGGGAAACUGGGUCUAAUACCAUAUAGGACCGCAUCUUGGAUGGUGUGGUGGAAAGCUUUUGCGGUGUGGGAUGAGCCUGCGGCCUAUCAGCUUGUUGGUGGGGUAAUGGCCUACCAAGGCGGCGACGGGUAUCCGGCCUGAGAGGGUGUACGGACACAUUGGGACUGAGAUACGGCCCAGACUCCUACGGGAGGCAGCAGUGGGGAAUAUUGCACAAUGGGCGCAAGCCUGAUGCAGCGACGCCGCGUGGGGGAUGAAGGCCUUCGGGUUGUAAACUCCUUUCGCUAUCGACGAAGCCACUUUGUGGUGACGGUAGGUAAAUAAAAACCCCCGGCUAACUACUUGCCACCACCCGCGGUAAUACGUAGGUUGCAACCUUUGCCCGGAAUUACGGGGCUUAAGAACCUCGAAG
rnacentral:rRNA from 1 species